UUUCAUUUGGUCCCAAAAACAAUUACUUACAACUUGGCCAUAUUUAUAAGCUUUUAGGAUUAAAAGAAAACUUGAGCCAACACAAUUAAUUAAUUGAAGUUGAUAAUGCAUAAAGCAAAAAUUAUAUUUUGAUCUCUUUCUUAUGGUAUACUUUCAAAUUUGACACUUUUCAUUCUUGAAAAUAGAGCAAUUUCAUUUAUUUUAAAAAGGGACCUACAAGCUCAUACAAACAUUGUUGAAGAUAAUUAGUAGCACACAAAUUAUUUAUUAGUCAUCAAAACAAGGAUUACAAUACUUAGGUCCAACAGAACCGAAGAAGAAAAAAA
rnacentral:lncRNA from 1 species